GAUGAACGCUGGCGGCGUGCCUAAUACAUGCAAGUCGAGCGAACAGACGAGGAGCUUGCUCCUUUGAUGUUAGCGGCGGACGGGUGAGUAACACGUAGGUAACCUACCUAUAAGACUGGGAUAACUUCGGGAAACCGGAGCUAAUACCGGAUAAUAUUUCGAACCGCAUGGUUCGAUAGUGAAAGAUGGCUUUGCUAUCACUUAUAGAUGGACCUGCGCCGGAUUAGCUAGUUGGUAAGGUAACGGCUUACCAAGGCAACGAUACGUAGCCGACCUGAGAGGGUGAUCGGCCACACUGGAACUGAGACACGGUCCAGACUCCUACGGGAGGCAGCAGUAGGGAAUAUUCCGCAAUGGGCGAAAGCCUGACCCAGCAACGCCGCGUGAGUGAUGAAGGUCUUCGGAUCGUAAAACUCUUUUAUUAGGGAAGAACAAAAGUGUAAGUAACCGUGCCCGUCUUGACGGUACCUAAACAGAAAGCCCCGGCUAACUACGUG
rnacentral:rRNA from 1 species